AAACCAGCACCUCAAGUGGUCAGGAUGAUUAUUGGGCCUAAAGCAUCCGUAGCCGGCUCUGUAAGUUUUCGGUUAAAUCUGUACGCUUAACGUACAGGCUGCCGGGAAUACUGCAGAGCUAGGGAGUGGGAGAGGUAGACGGUACUCGGGAGGAAGUGGUAAAAUGCUUUGAUCUCUCGAUGACCACCUGAGGCGAAGGCGGUCUACCAGAACACGUCCGACGGUGAGGGAUGAAAGCUGGGGGAGCAAACCGGAUUAGAAACCCCAGUAGUCC
rnacentral:rRNA from 1 species